UAGGGAAUCUUCCACAAUGGACGCAAGUCUGAUGGAGCAACGCCGCGUGAGUGAAGAAGGUUUUCGGAUCGUAAAGCUCUGUUGUUGGUGAAGAAGGAUAGAGGUAGUAACUGGCCUUUAUUUGACGGUAAUCAACCAGAAAGUCACGGCUAACUACGUGCCAGCAGCCGCGGUAAUACGUAGGUGGCAAGCGUUGUCCGGAUUUAUUGGGCGUAAAGCGAGCGCAGGCGGAAGAAUAAGUCUGAUGUGAAAGCCCUCGGCUUAACCGAGGAACUGCAUCGGAAACUGUUUUUCUUGAGAGCAGAAGAGGAGAAUGGAAUUCCAUGUGUAGCGGUGGAAUGCGUAGAUAUAUGGAAGAACACCAGUGGCGAAGGCGACUCUCUGGUCUGCAAAUGAGGCUGAGGCUCGAAAGCAUGGGGAGCGAACAGG
rnacentral:rRNA from 1 species